UACGGGGGGGCAAGCGUUGUUCGGAAUUACUGGCGUAAAGGGCUCGAUAGGUGGCCAAUUAAGUCAGACGUGAAAUCCCCAGGCUUAACCUGGGAACUGCGUCUGAUACUGGUUGGCUUGAAUUCGGGAGAGGGAUGCAGAAUUCCAGGUGUAGCGGUGAAAUGCGUAGAUAUACUGGAGGAAUACCGGUGGCGAAGGCGGCAUCCUGGACCGAGAUUGAACACUGAGGAGCGAA
rnacentral:rRNA from 1 species